rnacentral:rRNA from 1 species
AGUGAACGCUGGCGGUAGGCCUAACACAUGCAAGUCGAACGGCAGCACAGUAAGAGCUUGCUCUUACGGGUGGCGAGUGGCGGACGGGUGAGGAAUACAUCGGAAUCUACUUUUUCGUGGGGGCUAACGUAGGGAAACUUACGCUAAUACCGCAUACGACCUACGGGUAAAAGCAGGGGAUCUUCGGACCUUGCGCGAUUGAAUGAGCCGAUGUCGGAUUAGCUAGUUGGCGGGGUAAAGGCCCACCAAGGCGACGAUCCGUAGCUGGUCUGAGAGGAUGAUCAGCCACACUGGAACUGAGACACGGUCCAGACUCCUACGGGAGGCAGCAGUGGGGAAUAUUGGACAAUGGGCGCAAGCCUGAUCCAGCCAUACCGCGUGGGUGAAGAAGGCCUUCGGGUUGUAAAGCCCUUUUGUUGGGAAAGAAAAGCAGCAGGUUAAUACCCCGCUGUUCUGACGGUACCCAAAGAAUAAGCACCGGCUAACUUCGUG